AUAACAAAAUCUAAUCUUUAGAGGCCCUGUAAUUGUAAUGAGUCCACUUGAAAUCCUUUAACUCUGAUCAAUUGGAGGGCAAGUCUGGUGCAGAGCAACUGACCUGUGCGUGCUGCAGCUGAAACUCCAGCAGCAA